rnacentral:rRNA from 1 species
UACAGAGGGGGCAAGCGUUGUUCGGAAUUACUGGGCGUAAAGGGCGCGUAGGCGGCCCGCUAAGUCGAACGUGAAAUCCCUGGGCUCAACCCAGGAACUGCGUCCGAUACUGGUGGGCUCGAAUCCGGGAGAGGGAUGUGGAAUUCCAGGUGUAGCGGUGAAAUGCGUAGAUAUCUGGAGGAACACCGGUGGCGAAGGCGACAUCCUGGACCGGUAUUGACGCUGAGGCGCGAAAGCCAGGGGAGCAAACGGG